rnacentral:misc_RNA from 1 species
GUAGGUGAACCUGCGGAAGGAUCAUUACAGAGUAUCAUGCCCUCACGGGUAGAUCUCCACCCUUGAAUAACAUACCUUUGUUGCUUUGGCAGGACGCACUCGUGCCAGGGGUUUCGGCUCCUGAGUGCCUGCCAGAGGACCACAACUCUUGUUUUUAGUGAUGUCUGAGUACUAUAUAAUAGUUAAAACUUUCAACAACGGAUCUCUUGGCUCUC